AAACCAACUCCGCUCAACAUUGAAACGCUCUGCCCUCAAUUGUCCUCACGCUCUGCUCUCAAAGGGUCUGGUCGCAAUCCUGUCCCAAUCGCACUGGUUACAUUGUUAGCAUUUGGGAUAAUAAGUGGUGGUAUAUUCUGGGCAGUUAAAAUAAUAAAAUGUGGAGCCUGCAAGCAAAGAGAAGAAGAAGGAUGAUGAUAAUGUGAACUUUCAGAGAUCGGUAAGGUCAGUGUUUAUGGAU